GGAGGUGGCUCAGUAAUAGACUAUCUGCUUGGCAUGCAGAAGUCCCCAGGUUCGAUUCCCUGACAUCUUCA
rnacentral:tRNA from 1 species